rnacentral:tRNA from 1 species
GUUCUUAUAGUUGAGCGUCAACGAUGGUUUUUCAGGCCAUAGACCUUGGAUGAGACCAAGUGAGAACC